GACGAACCGUGCGAACGUUGUUCGGAAUCACUGGGCUUAAAGGGCGCGUAGGCGGACCACCAAGUCCGGGGUGAAAUCUUUCGGCUUAACCGGAAAACAGCCUUGGAUACUGGUGGUCUCGAGUGAGGUAGGGGCCGUUGGAACUUCCGGUGGAGCGGUGAAAUGCGUUGAUAUCGGAAGGAACGCCGGUGGCGAAAGCGAACGGCUGGACCUCUUCUGACGCUGAGGCGCGAAAGCCAGGGGAGCAAACGGG
rnacentral:rRNA from 1 species